UAUGUUGGGCGUUCUCCUACGGGAGGCAGCAGUGGGGGAUUUUGGACAAUGGGCGAAAGCCUGAUCCAGCGACGCCGCGUGGAGGAAGAAGCCCUUCGGGGUGUAAACUCCUUUUCUCAGGGAAAAAGGAUGAUGGUACCUGAGGAAUAAGCCCCGGCUAACUACGUGCCAGCAGCCGCGGUAAUACGUAGGGGGCGAGCGUUACCCGGAAUUACUGGGCGUAAAGGGUGCGUAGGCGGCCUUGCAAGUCCGGUGUUAAAAGCCCUGGCUCAACUAGGGAGAUGCGCUGGAAACUGUAAGGCUUGGGUGCAGCAGAGGCAGAUGGAACUGCUGGUGUAGGGGUGAAAUCCGUAGAUAUCAGCAGGAACGCCGGUGGAGAAGUCGGUCUGCUGGGCUGUGACCGACGCUGAGGCACGAAAGCUAGGGGAGCGAACCGGAUUAGAUACCCGGGUAGUCCUAGCCGUAAACGAUGCUCACUUGGUGUGGGGGCAUAGAGCCUCUGUGCGAAGCGAACGCGUAAGGAGCCGCCUGGAUUUGCCCACUUGG
rnacentral:rRNA from 1 species